CGUAAUGACUGAUGACCCUGGAAUCGGAUUGUCCGGAGAUAGGGUCAGAAGAUUGGCAAAACACCCCGAUUUUUGGUGGUGUCCGGUGCGCUCGCGAUGAUCCAUGAAAAUUGAAGGGACAGAAUUAUUCUCCUACCAAGUCGUACCCAUAUCCGCAGCAGGUCCUCAAGGUGAGUAGCCUCUAGUCUGAUAGAAUAAUGUAGGUAAGGGAAGUCGGCAAAUUAGAUCCGUAACUUCGGGAAAAGG
rnacentral:rRNA from 1 species